GAAAGAGCAAAUGUAAAAAAUGUUUUCCCACCUUCUUCUUACCUUUUGACCUUUUUGGAGAAGAAAAGCAAAGUGUGUCUAGUGUUGAGACACCAAAGAGAUGAGCUGUGUGAGAAAGAGACACCAAGAGAACAGAGGAGGCCACUGGAUUUUCAGUGAAGACAGAAGAAAAGCUGAGUAUCCAGAUACAGGAAGGUGCUGUUAACUAAAGUAAGUGAAGAGGUUACAACUGGUGUGACUGCAAAGAAGGGAGAGAAAAGGAGAAAAUGAGAUGCUCCAUUAGAAAACACCAUUCAGAAGUGACAGAUUAAGCUACUUGAA